rnacentral:rRNA from 1 species
AGAGUUUGAUCCUGGCUCAGAAUGAACGUUGGCGGCGUGGAUUAGGCAUGCAAGUCGUACGGUAAGCUUCGGCUUAUAGUGGCGAAAGGGAGAGUAACGCGUGGUUACAUGCCCUCGGGACCGGGAUAGCGGCGGGAAACUGCCGGUAAUACCGGAUAAUAUCUUUGGAUCAAAGGUGUGAUUCCGCCCGAGGAUUGGACCGCGUUCUAUUAGCUUGUUGGCGGGGUAAUGGCCCACCAAGGCGACGAUGGAUACCGGGUGUGAGAGCAUGGCCCGGCUCACUGGGACUGAGACACUGCCCAGACACCUACGGGUGGCUGCAGUCGAGAAUCUUCGGCAAUGGGGGCAACCCUGACCGAGCGACGCCGCGUGCGGGACGAAGGCCUUCGGGUUGUAAACCGCUGUCAGUUGGGAGGAAGUGCCGGGGGGUUCUCCCCUCGGUUUGACCGAUCUUCAGAGGAAGGACGGGCUAAGUUCGUGCCAGCAGCCGCGGUAAGGCGAACCGUCCAAACGUUAUUCGGUAUCACUGGGCUUAAAGCGUGCGUAGGCGGCCUGGUAGGUGAGGUGUGAAAGCCCACGGCUCAACCGUGGAAUUGCGCUUCAAACCACCAGGCUGGAGGAUGGCAGGGGUGAUGGGAACUGAUGGUGGAGCGGUGAAAUGCGUUGAUAUCAUCAGGAACACCGGUGGCGAAGGCGCAUCACUGGGCCAUUUCUGACGCUGAGGCACGAAAGCUAGGGUAGCGAACGGGAUUAGAUACCCCGGUAGUCCUAGCUGUAAACGAUGAGCACUGGGUUGAGGGGACCUCCACAUCUUCUCGGCCGUAGCGAAAGCGUUAAGUGCUCCGCCUGGGGAGUAUGGCCGCAAGGCUGAAACUCAAAGGAAUUGACGGGGGCUCACACAAGCGGUGGAGGAUGUGGCUUAGUUCGAGGCUACGCGAAGAACCUUAUCCUAGACUUGACAUGCUUAAGAAUCUUCUGGAAACAGA